GAAGAACAUUGGGAAAAGGUCUAAAAAAAAGUAUUUGGAAGAAGCACUUUACAAAAAUCUGUUCAAAGAAGGAAGCGAAGAGAAUCAUGUUAGGAAAAAUCUGAAUCAAUUUUUGAAAUCACACAAAAGUGCUUUCAAAUGGGAAGUUGGAAAAUCCAUCAAAGUGUUGCGCCAACGCAAGCUUUACGCUCCAGCACUCAAGUUAUCAGAAACAAUGGAAAAAAGGGGCAUGAACAGGACCAUAAGUGAUCAAGCUAUACAUAUAGAUAUUGUUGCCAAGAGUAAAGGGAUUGAAGCAGCAGAGAGCUAUUUUUUGAAUCUUCCAGAGACAUCGAAAGAUCUUCUUACUUAUUGUGCCCUUUUGAACUGCUACUGCAAAGAAUUAAUGACUGAAAAAGCUGAGGCUUUGAUGGAGAAAGUGAAAGAACUUAACUUAAGUUUAAGCUCCAUGCCUUACAACAGCUUGAUGACUCUUUACACAAAAACUGGGCACCCAGAAAAAAUCCCAGCCAUUAUUCAAGAAAUGAAGGCCAAUGAUGUUAUGCCAGAUUCUUAUACCUACAACGUCUGGAUGAGGGCUCUUUCUUCUAUGAAUGAUAUUUCUGGGGUUGAGAGGGUUGUUGAUGAAAUGAAGAGGGAUGGCCGUGUUGCUG
rnacentral:misc_RNA from 1 species